CGCGGCCUAUCAGCUUGUUGGUGAGGUAAUGGCUUACCAAGGCGACGACGGGUAGCCGGCCUGAGAGGGCGACCGGCCACACUGGGACUGAGACACGGCCCAGACUCCUACGGGAGGCAGUAGUGGGGAAUAUUGCACAAUGGGCGAAAGCCUGAUGCAGCGACGCCGCGUGAGGGAUGACGGCCUUCGGGUUGUAAACCUCUUUCAGCAGGGAAGAAGCGAAAGUGACGGUACCUGCAGAAGAAGCGCCGGCUAACUACGUGCCAGCAGCCGCGGUAAUACGUAGGGCGCAAGCGUUGUCCGGAAUUAUUGGGCGUAAAGAGCUCGUAGGCGGCUUGUCACGUCGGGUGUGAAAGCCCGGGGCUUAACCCCGGGUCUGCAUUCGAUACGGGCUAGCUAGAGUGUGGUAGGGGAGAUCGGAAUUCCUGGUGUAGCGGUGAAAUGCGCAGAUAUCAGGAGGAACACCGGUGGCGAAGGCGGAUCUCUGGGCCAUUACUGACGCUGAGGAGCGAAAGCGUGGGGAGCGAACAGGAUUAGAUACCCUGGUAGUCCACGCCGUAAACGGUGGGAACUAGGUGUUGGCGACAUUCCACGUCGUCGGUGCCGCAGCUAACGCAUUAAGUUCCCCGCC
rnacentral:rRNA from 1 species